rnacentral:lncRNA from 1 species
AGAUGCACAAGCCAUGGCUGAGAAAAAAAGUGAUGGACUGGUCAAAGAUAGAAAGGGCAGACAGCUCAAGGUCACUGAGGAGAAAGAGGGACCUGAAGAAUCAGAUUCACAAGUAGGGGUAUGACUCACUAGUAGGAGUUUAGCUUCUAUUGCAUUUGGUUUUUUGAUAUUAAUUUGUUUUCUUUGCUUCACCUGAAACUGUAAUUACAUGCUUUAUUUUUUUCUUAUCUAUCUAUAUAUCUAUAUCACUAUGCAGAUGGAGCUGAAAAAGAAACCGAUGAAAGAUGCACAAGCCAAGGCUGAGGAAAAAAGUGAUGGACUGGUCAAAGAUAGAAAGGGCAGACAGCUCAAGGUCACUGAGGAGAAAGAGGGACCUGAAGAAUCAGUUUCACAAGUAGGGGUAUGACUCAAUAGUAGUGGUUUAACUUCUAUUGCAUUUGGUUUUUGAAUAUUAAUUUGUUUUCUUUGCUUCACCUGAAACUGUAAUUACAUGCUUUAUUUUUUUUCUUAUCUAUCUAUAUCUAUCUAUAUAUCUAUAUCAUGUUAAGUUUGCUACAACUUAACCAAACCCUAAUCCUCUUAAUCCAUGUUUUCCCUCCCUAAUCAUCCUUAAUCCACAUCAUUCAUUGAUAAGUUAUGCAUAAGUCUCAUUUCAUUUGUUUUGUGGUUAGCUUAAGUAUAUUAAGUGGCUAAAUUACAGUUUUUUUCUU